AUGUCAACAAAUAACUCGACGCCUAACUUAUGUAUAAUAUGUCUUAAUAUUGAUAACUUUUUAAUUGGCAUGAAUACCAAACACAAGAUUUCCAAUUAAAAUAUUUGAACUAGUUUAUAAAGAAAUUCCAUUAAAGAUUAGCGGCCUGAAGCAGUGUGACCAGAUCGUUUUUCUCCUCUUGCGGUCAGGACGAGGCGGGCGCGGUUUGUUGGGAAAGCUCCGCCUUGACGCGCCGCGCUAUGUGCGAACGCGUGUGCUUACGAAGGUGAUCCUUCCGGUAGAAACCUUUCGAGAUAAUCGAUCAACUUUAUUCUCUAAUUAUAUGUAGAUUAGCUAAGAACGUACAAGAUUUAUAAUCUACAAAGAGAAUGUUAAUUCCUUCCAUAGGACAAGAGUAAAAGUCACAACUGCUAUCACUAUAGGUACAAGCGGUAAAAAAUGCAGGAUGGAACACUUUUUUCCUUUUUCCCUACCUAUGCUAAUAGCCUUGAGAGGGUAUUUCAGCUUCUCCUUGACGUGUAGGUGAGCUCACGGAGCUCUAACCGAGAGUGUUGCUAACACUGGCCCUAGCAACAGCAGUGCUUCGCAGAAUCUACCACCGGAUCGGAAACGCGACCCACUGAAAAGAUCUGGCGAGAAUCUCAGUGGGCUGUGUCUAUGGGUUAAUUCACUCUUCGAGCCCUUAAUAUUGAGUGUACUAUCUAAGGUCAGGAUUUUUUACUUGUGGUCAGGAUGCCUAUGAUGAAUCAUUUUCAUCAUUAGCGCCGUUUAGGCUUCCAGUAAAGCAUCCCCACAUUUUCUACAGAAGAGAUUUCCUAACCACAGAUUACUCUUAGUGACUCCGUUUUUUUUUUUACUUCUGAAACACUGACCUUUUCCACAUUCGUUACAGAUGUGUCUCUUUUCUCCGGAAUGUAUAACAAAGUGCAGUGUGAGCUGUUCCUUUCUUUUGAAGGCUUUGAGACAAACGGAGCAGACGUGAGGUCGCUCCGGGUUAUGGGAUUGUUUAUGUCUCGUUAAAUGAUCUUUCCGUUUCAAUGCCGCAUUACAAAUGUCACAAAUAAACCUGUAGAAAUGAAUAAACGAUUUGCGUUAUAUAAAGCAAUGCAAAA